rnacentral:rRNA from 1 species
AGAGUUUGAUCAUGGCUCAGAUUGAACGCUGGCGGCAGGCUUCACACAUGCAAGUCGAACGGUAACAGGGAGAAGCUUGCUUCUUUGCUGACGAGUGGCGGACGGGUGAGUAAUGCUUGGGAAUCUGGCUUAUGGAGGGGGAUAACUACGGGAAACUGUAGCUAAUACCGCGUAAUAUCUUCGGAUUAAAGGGUGGGACUUUCGGGCCACCUGCCAUAAGAUGAGCCCAAGUGGGAUUAGGUAGUUGGUGGGGUAAAGGCCUACCAAGCCGACGAUCUCUAGCUGGUCUGAGAGGAUGACCAGCCACACUGGAACUGAGACACGGUCCAGACUCCUACGGGAGGCAGCAGUGGGGAAUAUUGCACAAUGGGGGGAACCCUGAUGCAGCCAUGCCGCGUGAAUGAAGAAGGCCUUCGGGUUGUAAAGUUCUUUCGGUGAUGAGGAAGGUGUUUGUUUUAAUAGAACAAGCAAUUGACGUUAGUCACAGAAGAAGCACCGGCUAACUCCGUGCCAGCAGCCGCGGUAAUACGGAGGGUGCGAGCGUUAAUCGGAAUGACUGGGCGUAAAGGGCACGCAGGCGGUGACUUAAGUGAGAUGUGAAAGCCCCGAGCUUAACUUGGGAAUUGCAUUUCAUACUGGGUCGCUAGAGUAUUUUAGGGAGGGGUAGAAUUCCACGUGUAGCGGUGAAAUGCGUAGAGAUGUGGAGGAAUACCGAAGGCGAAGGCAGCCCCUUGGGAAUAUACUGACGCUCAUGUGCGAAAGCGUGGGGAGCAAACAGGAUUAGAUACCCUGGUAGUCCACGCUGUAAACGCUGUCGAUUUGGGGAUUGGGCUUUAAGCUUGGUGCCCGUAGCU